GAUCGUGGGCUUCAGCUUCAGUUUGCAGCUUCGUGAAGAGGUCUGAAUGACAGUCAGCGCCUCUAAUUUAGAAGCCAUGGUCGUCUGUCAGAAAACGAUGGAUUCCUCCCACCUUGUUGGGAGUGAGUUUCUGGCCGAGGCAAAGGAGUUUGAAUACGCAUCUAAGGGGCCUGUACAUGAAUGUGGAUAAAAUGAUGCGUGAGGUUAGUUUGGUGCAGCAUCAGCAAGAAUUUGGUCAUUGUACUAGGUCAUAGUAAUGAAGAGGGAGCUGAGUCGGAAGGAUGGCUGGGCUCACCUUUAAAAGAAAGGGUAGCUACGGCAACUGGAGGAAGCCUGGAUUGGAGCUGCUGUUCCUACACCUGAAAAAAAACAGAUGGAGAGGAGGAGGAGAUGAAAGGUGUUGCUGGAAAGAGGGAUGUCUAGACUUUCACAUCAGCAUGCUACUGUUACCUUGCCCUGCAUAAACACUGUGAAAAGGAUGGAUAGAUUGUAAAGGCUAGUCGGGAUUUUGUAUUAUGUAUGCAGCAUCUUUGUGUUCUGCAUGGUAACGUUUAACUGCAUAGACUACUCAAGAUAUUACCCAUUAUCUAAUGCUUGCUUUUUAGAUAAAUACAGUAUGUAUUUUGUGAGCAGGCAAAGAGUCAAAGCAACCCAAUAAAAGCAAACUGACUAGAGAAAA